GAUUAACGCUGGCGGCGUGCAUAACACAUGCAAGUCGAACGAUGAAACUUUAAUGAACCCUUCGGGGAGAAUUAAAGCGGAUUAGUGGCGAACGGGUGAGUAACGCGUGAGUAACCUGCCUUACACAAGGGGAUAGCCUUUGGAAGCGAAGAAUAAUACCCUAUAAAACCAUAAAAGCACAUGCAAUUAUGGUCAAAGUGAUAGCGGUGUAAGAUGGACUUGCGUCUGAUUAGCUAGUUGGUGAGAUAAAAGCCCACCAAGGCAACGAUCAGUAGCCGGCUUGAGAGAGUGUACGGCCACAUUGGGACUGAGACACGGCCCAGACUCCUACGGGAGGCAGCAGUGGGGAAUUUUGCACAAUGGGGGAAACCCUGAUGCAGCGACGCCGCGUGAUUUAGAAGGCCUUCGGGUUGUAAAAAUCUUUUGUAUAGGAAGAAAAUGACAGUACUAUACGAAUAAGGUCCGGCUAAUUACGUG
rnacentral:rRNA from 1 species